UUGUAGUCAAGUUUUGUGACCUAGUAUGGUGCUUCAGAUCGUGAAUGAGUGGGUGAGUGAGUGAGUGAAGUAAAGUAAAGGAAAUGAUUGAAUAUAAAUGGGAGCACGAACGAGACUAGGGUUUUAUUUCUAAUUACUAAUUUGACCUUUAUUUUUUUCUGCUUUUUUCAAACAAAAUUCCACAAAUUGUUUCUGCGUCCCAAUUAAGUGAUUAACCAUGUCCAAAUCUCAUAUCACAGAAGAUUAAAAAUAUAUAUUUAAUAUUAUACCAAUAAUUACUGAAAUAAUGUUCUUGAAAAUCAAUCAUCAAACUUAAGAUCACACUUAAGACAUAAAGCCGUGUCAAAACGCAAAUUAAUUAAGAAAAUUAUUUAUUAAAAUAUUAAUUUAUAGUAUCAGAUUUAAUGAAGAAAUUUGGAGUUUAAUAUGCCAGUCAAAGCGCAAUUAAUUAUAUCCUUGAUCAUAUAUCUUUUGAUUGGUUAA